rnacentral:rRNA from 1 species
AGGUAAGCUACUAAGAGCGAAUGGUGGAUGCCUUGACUGGUAAAGGCGAUGAAGGACGUACUAGACUGCGAUAAGCUACGGGGAGCUGUCAAGAAGCUUUGAUCCGUAGAUUUCCGAAUGGGGCAACCCAAUGUAUAGAGAUAUACAUUACCUAUAUAGGAGCGAACGAGGGGAAUUGAAACAUCUUAGUACCCUCAGGAAAAGAAAUCAAUAGAGAUUGCGUCAGUAGCGGCGAGCGAAAGCGCAAGAGGGCAAACCCAGUGCUUGCACUGGGGGUUGUAGGACUGCAAUGUGCAAGAGCUGAGUUUAGCAGAACAUUCUGGAAAGUAUAGCCAUAGAGGGUGAUAGUCCCGUAUGCGAAAAACAAAGCUUAGCUAGCAGUAUCCUGAGUAGGGCGGGACACGAGAAAUCCUGUCUGAAUCCGGGUCGACCACGAUCCAACCCUAAAUACUAAUACCAGAUCGAUAGUGCACAAGUACCGUGAGGGAAAGGUGAAAAGAACUGAGGUGAUCAGAGUGAAAUAGAACCUGAAACCAUUUGCUUACAAUCAUUCAGAGCACUAUGUAGCAAUACAGUGUGAUGGACUGCCUUUUGCAUAAUGAGCCUGCGAGUUGUGGUGUCUGGCAAGGUUAAGCAAACGCGAAGCCGUAGCGAAAGCGAGUCUGAAUAGGGCGCUUAGUCAGAUGCUGCAGACCCGAAACGAAGUGAUCUAUCCAUGAGCAAGUUGAAGCUAGUGUAAGAACUAGUGGAGGACUGAACCCAUAGGCGUUGAAAAGCCCCGGGAUGACUUGUGGAUAGGGGUGAAAGGCCAAUCAAACUUCGUGAUAGCUGGUUCUCUCCGAAAUAUAUUUAGGUAUAGCGUUGUGUCGUAAUAUAAGGGGGUAGAGCACUGAAUGGGCUAGGGCAUACACCAAUGUACCAAACCCUAUCAAACUCCGAAUACCUUAUAUGUAAUCACAGCAGUCAGGCGGCGAGUGAUAAAAUCCGUCGUCAAGAGGGAAACAACCCAGACUACCAGCUAAGGUCCCUAAAUCUUACUUAAGUGGAAAACGAUGUGAAGUUACUUAAACAACCAGGAGGUUGGCUUAGAAGCAGCCAUCCUUUAAAGAAAGCGUAAUAGCUCACUGGUCUAGUGAUUUUGCGCGGAAAAUAUAACGGGGCUAAAGUAAGUACCGAAGCUGUAGACUUGCACACAACUUAGAUUAUUUAAGUUUAGAAUAUGAGAAACUAAGUUAUAUGUUUAGUUAUAUUUUUACUGAUUUUUAUAGAGUAAAGAUAGAAAUAAAACUUAGUAAAAUCAGUAAAAAUAUUCUUAGGCUAAAGUUAAGUAGUUUAAGUUGUGUGCAAGUGGUAGGAGAGCGUUCUAUUUGCGUCGAAGGUAUACCGGUAAGGAGUGCUGGAGCGAAUAGAAGUGAGCAUGCAGGCAUGAGUAGCGAUAAUUAAUGUGAGAAUCAUUAACGCCGUAAACCCAAGGUUUCCUACGCGAUGCUCGUCAUCGUAGGGUUAGUCGGGUCCUAAGUCGAGUCCGAAAGGGGUAGACGAUGGCAAAUUGGUUAAUAUUCCAAUACCAACAUUAGUGUGCGAUGGAAGGACGCUUAGGGCUAAGGGGGCUAGCGGAUGGAAGUGCUAGUCUAAGGUUGUAGGAGGUUAUACAGGCAAAUCCGUAUAACAAUACUCCGAGAACUGAAAGGCUUUUUGAAGUCUUCGGAUGGAUAGAAGAACCCCUGAUGCCGUCGAGCCAAGAAAAGUUUCUAAGUUUAGCUAAUGUUGCCCGUACCGUAAACCGACACAGGUGGGUGGGAUGAGUAUUCUAAGGCGCGUGGAAGAACUCUCUUUAAGGAACUCUGCAAAAUAGCACCGUAUCUUCGGUAUAAGGUGUGGUUAGCUUCGUACUAGGAUUUACUCCGAAAGCGAAGAAACUUACAACAAAGAGUCCCUCCCGACUGUUUACCAAAAACACAGCACUCUGCUAACUCGUAAGAGGAUGUAUAGGGUGUGACGCCUGCCCGGUGCUCGAAGGUUAAUUGAUGGGGUUAGCAUUAGCGAAGCUCUUGAUCGAAGCCCGAGUAAACGGCGGCCGUAACUAUAACGGUCCUAAGGUAGCGAAAUUCCUUGUCGGUUAAAUACCGACCUGCAUGAAUGGCGUAACGAGAUGGGAGCUGUCUCAAAGAGGGAUCCAGUGAAAUUGUAGUGGAGGUGAAAAUUCCUCCUACCCGCGGCAAGACGGAAAGACCCCGUGGACCUUUACUACAGCUUGACACUGCUACUUGGAUAAGAAUGUGCAGGAUAGGUGGGAGGCUUUGAGUAUAUGACGCCAGUUGUAUAUGAGCCAUUGUUGAGAUACCACUCUUUCUUAUUUGGGUAGCUAACCAGCUUGAGUUAUCCUCAAGUGGGACAAUGUCUGGUGGGUAGUUUGACUGGGGCGGUCGCCUCCCAAAUAAUAACGGAGGCUUACAAAGGUUGGCUCAGAACGGUUGGAAAUCGUUCGUAGAGUAUAAAGGUAUAAGCCAGCUUAACUGCAAGACAUACAAGUCAAGCAGAGACGAAAGUCGGUCUUAGUGAUCCGGUGGUUCUGUGUGGAAGGGCCAUCGCUCAAAGGAUAAAAGGUACCCCGGGGAUAACAGGCUGAUCUCCCCCAAGAGCUCACAUCGACGGGGAGGUUUGGCACC